rnacentral:rRNA from 1 species
CCAAUAGCGUAUAUUAAAGUUGUUGCAGUUAAAAAGCUCGUAGUUGAAUUUCGGGAUCAAUACGCCGGUCGUGCCUCGGUACGUACUAACGAUAUUGAUUUCUACCUUCUGACGAACCGUGAUGUCAUUAAUUUGGUGUUACGGGAAGUCAGGACUGUUACUUUGAAAAAAUUAGAGUGUUUAAAGCAAGCAAUCGCUCGAAUACAUUAGCAUGGAAUAAUGAAAUAGGACGUUCGAACCUAUUUUGUUGGUUUCUAGGAUCGACGUAAUGAUUAAUAGGGAUAGUUGGGGGCAUUAGUAUUCAAUUGUCAGAGGUGAAAUUCUUGGAUUUAUUGAAGACUAACUACUGCGAAAGCAUUUGCCAAGGAUGUUUUCAUUAAUCAAGAACGAAAGUUAGGGGAUCGAAGACGAUCAGAUACCGUCGUAGUCUUAACCAUAAACUAUGCCGACUAGGGAUCGGAUGAUGUUAAUUUUUUAAUGACUCAUUCGGCGCCUUACG